AGAGUUUGAUCAUGGCUCAGGAUGAACGCUAGCUACAGGCUUAACACAUGCAAGUCGAGGGGAAACGACAUCGAAAGCUUGCUUUUGAUGGGCGUCGACCGGCGCACGGGUGAGUAACGCGUAUCCAACCUGCCCACCACUUGGGGAUAACCUUGCGAAAGUAAGACUAAUACCCAAUGACGUCUCUAGAAGACAUCUAGAAGGAGAUUAAAGAUUUAUCGGUGAUGGGAUGGGGAUGCGUCUGAUUAGCUUGUUGGCGGGGUAACGGCCCACCAAGGCGACGAUCAGUAGGGGUUCUGAGAGGAAGGUCCCCACAUUGGAACUGAGACACGGUCCAAACUCCUACGGAGGCA
rnacentral:rRNA from 1 species